rnacentral:rRNA from 1 species
GACGAACGCUGGCGGCGUGCUUAACACAUGCAAGUCGAACGGAAAGGCCCUGCUUUUGUGGGGUGCUCGAGUGGCGAACGGGUGAGUAACACGUGAGUAACCUGCCCUUGACUUUGGGAUAACUUCAGGAAACUGGGGCUAAUACCGGAUAGGAGCUCCUGCUGCAUGGUGGGGGGUGGAAAUUUUCGGCGGUUGGGGAUGGACUCGCGGCUUAUCAGCUUGUUGGUGGGGUAGUGGCUUACCAAGGCUUUGACGGGUAGCCGGCCUGAGAGGGUGACCGGCCACAUUGGGACUGAGAUACGGCCCAGACUCCUACGGGAGGCAGCAGUGGGGAAUAUUGCACAAUGGGCGGAAGCCUGAUGCAGCAACGCCGCGUGCGGGAUGACGGCCUUCGGGUUGUAAACCGCUUUCGCCUGUGACGAAGCGUGAGUGACGGUAAUGGGUAAAGAAGCACCGGCUAACUACGUG